AACGCUGGCGGUGUGCCUAAUACAUGCAAGUCGAACGGUCUUUUCUAUGGAAGCUUGCUUCCGACUGAGAAGAUAGUGGCGAACGGGUGAGUAACACGUGGGUAACCUGCCCAUAAGAGGGGGGAUAACAUCCGGAAACGGGUGCUAAUACCGCAUAGUUUUCUUGAUCGCAUGAUCGGGAAAGGAAAGACGGCCUUUGUGCUGUCGCUUAUGGAUGGACCCGCGGCGUAUUAGUUAGUUGGUGAGGUAACGGCUCACCAAGACGAUGAUACGUAGCCGACCUGAGAGGGUGAUCGGCCACAUUGGGACUGAGACACGGCCCAAACUCCUACGGGAGGCAGCAGUAGGGAAUCUUCCGCAAUGGACGAAAGUCUGACGGAGCAACGCCGCGUGAGUGAAAGAAGGUUUUCGGAUCGUAAAACUCUGUUGUCAGAGAAGAACAAGUUGGAGAGUAACUGCUCCAGCCUUGACGGUAUCUGACCAGAAAGCCACGGCUAACUACGUGCCAGCCGCGGC
rnacentral:rRNA from 1 species